rnacentral:rRNA from 1 species
UACAGAGGGGGCAAGCGUUAUUCGGAAUUAUUGGGCGUAAAGGGCGCGUAGGCGGCCUGACAAGUGGAAGGUGAAAUCCCUCGGCUUAACCGAGGAACUGCCCUCCAAACUGUCUGGCUUGAGACCGGGAGAGGUGAGUGGAAUUCCCAGUGUAGCGGUGAAAUGCGUAGAUAUUGGGAAGAACACCGGUGGCGAAGGCGGCGACCUGGUCCGAUACUGACGCUGAGGCGCGAAAGCGUGGGGAGCAAACAGG